rnacentral:rRNA from 1 species
UGGGGGAUAUUGCACAAUGGGCGAAAGCCUGAUGCAGCGACGCCGCGUGGGGGAUGAAGGCCGUCGGGUUGUAAACUUCUUUUGCUCUGAACAAGGCGCACCAUGGGGUGUGUUGAGUGUAGGGGUUGAUUAGCGCCGGCUAACUACGUGCCAGCAGCCGCGGUAAUACGUAGGGCGCGAGCGUUGUCCGGAAUUAUUGGGCGUAAAGGGCUUGUAGGUGGCUGGUUGCGUCUGUCGUGAAAGCUCAUGGCUUAACUGUGGGUUUGCGGUGGGUACGGGCUGGCUUGAGUGCAGUAGGGGAGGCUGGAAUUCCUGGUGUAGCGGUGGAAUGCGCAGAUAUCAGGAGGAAUACCGGUGGCGAAGGCGGGUCUCUGGGCUGUUACUGACACUGAGGAGCGAAAGCAUGGGGAGCGAACAGG